AUGACAGUUUUGCCCUCGAGCUGUAUGCGGAGAGAAAAAGGCCCAAGUUUUCUUCUGUGUUCUAGAAGCAUACAUCGACUACGCUUCGUUCCAUUUUCGGUUUUGUUCUCAGAUACAGACGCGGCGUGAAACGGAGUUAUCAAGCGUAUCGAUCAAGCUCUCAGAUAUAAAGGUCGCUGGGUAGCAGAGAGAAGGGGAGAGAUCCAAGAUUUUCGUCCAAGCUUCGGGUCGUUGGGGUGGCAAAAAGAAGGGGAGGGAUCGAAGAUUGUGGUCGACUUCCGGAGGAAGGUUGAAAAAGAGUGGGGGCGUUUCUCAGUUCAUGUAUAGUGUGUGCUUAAUCUAGAAGUUGUACAUAUUGAAGGAGCGGGGAUUUGCUUAAGAAUCAUAAGCAGUUGUGUCUUUGAAGGGCUGGUUGGAUAUCUCUGCGAGGUAGGCUUGGGUUCGUUUUGGAAGAGGUGUGUGCUGAGAUUGUGAUCGAGUUUAGGAGACGGGCUUUGGGAGCAAAAGAGUGGAGAAACUUCGCCAAUGCUGCCUUGAAGAAAUUUGAGAUUACAAGCAUGGUGGAAAAGACCACUAAAGGUAGGAGAAUGAUGGAGGAAUUACAAAGAUACACUUUAAUUCAGUUAAGAAAAACAAAACCCCCGCAGCAUCGCGCGGGAAGGAUUAUCUAGUUAAUUUACUAUAUACUAAAGUGCACUUACUGUUCAUUAUCCUGUUCAUUUAACAGUAAAAUGGCGGUUUUGCCCUUGAUUUCUUCUCACAAUUUCAGGCUGCCAUAAGGAGUGUGAAAAGGCCAUUUUGCCCUUCAUUUUUCUUGGUUUAUGGAUGGUAUGAAACUUCAACACGAGCCACAUUUUCUCGAAAAUGGAUCAAACUGAUCUGAACCAGAAAUCCGAACAGCAUGAACUUACGUGAUCCUGGAAUGGGACAAACAGUAGUAAAAGAAAAGUACUGUUUUGCCCUGAAACAGCAAGUAUAUAUAAUUCUCUUCUCAACCCCACCAUCUAUCGCAUUUGAGGAGAAGUCUCCAUCGGUACGUACGUAUCUAGAGUUCCUGUUAACCGACAUUAGAUUUCCCAGUCAAAAUCAAGAUCAGCAAAUACGGUUUAUCAGUGUCACGGGAAAUUGCGUUGCUCAUCUAUUCAGCUUACCUUCAAGUUAUUAUCCUUUAUGUGUAAUCUUGGAUCUUGAUUUAUUGUGAAUGAUUCCGAUUCUUUACAUUCAGUUCGUGUUGCUCAUAUUCUUGGUUCUGUUUUCAAAUUUUGUUAUAACUGUUGAGUUUUUGAUUGCAAUUCUGAAUUCUUUCUUUCUUUC